UACGUAGGGUGCAAGCGUUAAUCGGAAUUACUGGGCGUAAAGCGUGCGCAGGCGGUUUUGUAAGUCUGUCGUGAAAGCCCCGGGCUCAACCUGGGAAUUGCGAUGGAGACUGCAAGGCUUGAAUCUGGCAGAGGGGGGUAGAAUUCCACGUGUAGCAGUGAAAUGCGUAGAGAUGUGGAGGAACACCGAUGGCGAAGGCAAUCCCCUGGACCUGUACUGACGCUCAUGCACGAAAGGACGUGGGGAGCAAACGAGGAUACGAAACCCAGU
rnacentral:rRNA from 1 species